CUUCAAAAAUCUGAUUCUGGAAUGAAUCAGGAUUGAUGCUUUCGUAGUGGCCAUAUUUGUUAUCAUCUUUAAUCCAAUCGCUUCUAUAGCACUGAAUGAGUUCAGUUAGAUGCGGCCACUGCUCCAAAUUGUCAUCAAGCUGAGGAUCCAGCUUGAGAUGAGCUAGCGAAUGUCGAGGUAUUCUCCGAAAGCGAUAUCCACCGCUCCCGUUGCCAUUGCUAGCAACAUUGCCAUCCAUUACACCAGAUUCUGCAUUUUUACAAAGAGAAAUUAAUCAUCAAAAGCAUGAAUCAGCCAAAAUGCAGUGUCAAUUCUGCAGAUCUGAA